AUGAACGCUAGCGACAGGCCUAACACAUGCAAGUCGAGGGGCAGCACAAGGAGCAAUCUGAGGUGGCGACCGGCGCACGGGUGAGUAACACGUAUGCAACCUGCCUGUAAGCGGGGAAUAACCCGUUGAAAGACGGACUAAUACCGCAUAAUACUAAAUUACUGCAUGGUAAUUUAUUUAAACAUUUAUGGCUUACAGAUGGGCAUGCGCAUGAUUAGCUAGUUGGAGAGGUAACGGCUCCCCAAGGCAACGAUCAUUAGGGUUCUGAGAGGAAGGUCCCCCACACUGGUACUGAGACACGGACCAGACUCCUACGGGAGGCAGCAGUGAGGAAUAUUGGUCAAUGGACGAGAGUCUGAACCAGCCAAGUCGCGUGCAGGAAGAAUGUCCCUAUGGAUUGUAAACUGCUUUUGCAGGGGAAUAAAGUGCAUCACGUGUGAUGUUUUGUAUGUACUCUGCGAAUAAGGAUCGGCUAACUCCGUGCCAGCAGCAGC
rnacentral:rRNA from 1 species